rnacentral:rRNA from 1 species
CCUACGGGCGGCAGCAGUGGGGGAUAUUGCACAAUGGGGGAAACCCUGAUGCAGCGACGCCGCGUGUGGGAAGACGGUCCUCUGGAUUGUAAACCACUGUCCCCAGGGACGAAGAUGACGGUACCUGGGGAGGAAGCUCCGGCUAACUACGUGCCAGCAGCCGCGGUAAUACGUAGGGAGCAAGGGUUGUCCGGAAUUACGGGGUGUAAAGGGAGCGUAGGCGGGAUGGCAAGUUGGGUGUUAAAUCUACCGGCUCAACUGGUAGUCGCACUCAAAACUGCUAUUCUUGAGUGAAGUAGAGGCAGGCGGAAUUCCUAGUGUAGCGGUGAAAUGCGUAGAUAUUAGGAGGAACACCAGUGGCGAAGGCGGCCUGCUGGGCUUUUACUGACGCUGAGGCUCGAAAGUGUGGGUAUCAAACAGGAUUAGAUACCCUUGUAGUC